rfam:Gallus gallus isolate RJF #256 breed Red Jungle fowl, inbred line TCD001 chromosome 4, whole genome shotgun sequence.
GUCAGGAUGGCCGAGUGGUCUAAGGCGCCAGACUCAAGGCGUACCGCGCCUUCCCAUGGCGGUUGGGUAUUCUGGUCUCCGAAUGGAGGCGUGGGUUCGAAUCCCACUUCUGACA